rnacentral:rRNA from 1 species
GAUGAACGCUGGCGGCGUGCCUAAUACAUGCAAGUCGAGCGAACAGACGAGGAGCUUGCUCCUCUGACGUUAGCGGCGGACGGGUGAGUAACACGUGGAUAACCUACCUAUAAGACUUGGAUAACUUCGGGAAACCGGAGCUAAUACCGGAUAAUAUAUUGAACCGCAUGGUUCAAUAGUUAAAGACGGUUUUGCUGUCACUUAUAGAUGGAUCCUCGCCGCAUUAGCUAGUUGGUAAGGUAACGGCUUACCAAGGCAACGAUGCGUAGCCGACCUGAGAGGGUGAUCGGCCACACUGGAACUGAGACACGGUCCAGACUCCUACGGGAGGCAGCAGUAGGGAAUCUUCCGCAAUGGGCGAAAGCCUGACGGAGCAACGCCGCGUGAGUGAUGAAGGUCUUCGGAUCGUAAAACUCUGUUAUUAGGGAAGAACAAAUGUGUAAGUAACUAUGCACGUCUUGACGGUACCUAAUCAGAAAGCCACGGCUAACUACGUG